GGGGUAUUAGCUCAGUUGGUAGAGCGUCUGCUUUGCACGCAGAAAGUCGGGGGUUCGAGUCCCUUAUGCUCCA
rnacentral:tRNA from 1 species